rnacentral:rRNA from 1 species
AACGAACGCUGGCGGCAGGCUUAACACAUGCAAGUCGAGCGCAUCCUUCGGGGUUAGCGGCAGACGGGUGAGUAACGCGUGGGAAUCUACCUUUUGCUACGGAAUAGCUCCGGGAAACUGGAAUUAAUACCGUAUGUGCCCUUAGGGGGAAAGAUUUAUCGGCAAGAGAUGAGCCCGCGUUGGAUUAGCUAGUUGGUGGGGUAAAGGCCUACCAAGGCGACGAUCCAUAGCUGGUCUGAGAGGAUGAUCAGCCACAUUGGGACUGAGACACGGCCCAAACUCCUACGGGAGGAGGCAGUGGGGAAUAUUGGACAAUGGGCGCAAGCCUGAUCCAGCCAUGCCGCGUGAGUGAUGAAGGCCUUAGGGUUGUAAAGCUCUUUCACCGGAGAAGAUAAUGACGGUAUCCGGAGAAGAAGCCCCGGCUAACUUCGUG